CAGAUCUGACAGAACAAUUAGAUUUUAAGUCGUUCCUUGAGGACAGAGGCCAUGUUUACUUCUAUUAUCUUUCUUGGCUUCCCCCGCACCAACCCUCCACAUAGUUCUGGACACACGGCAGAGCAGGACAAACAUUUGUUGGCUGCUUGGUUGAAUCAAUAACGAGAGAGAAGGUAUACCUGGAUGGAGUAAAUGGAGUAUGGAGAUUAUGGGUCUUGAAGACAGAACCAAGCGUAGCAAAUUGUUUUUAGUGUGGUGUGGAGGAACAAGUAGAUUUAUAGUCAUUUUUACUGUUUGUGAGUUUAAAACUAUGGCACAUGAGCUCAUACAAGAAAGCUGGAGGUUUCACAAUUUUCCAUUGCUUUGAAAUAGAGGUCACUUCCAUCUACAUUGGCAUCCACCCCUUAGGUCUACGUGACAUUUACAAGUCAUUUAUCAGCACUGAACUCCCAAGAGCUUGCUCUGCCAUUCUCCAAGAUGUUGGCUGACACCUCUGACAGGAGAAGCCAGGAUGUGUUUUGACAACCAAGUGGUUUCCUUAGCAAACUGCGGGUGUUCUCAGGCAGCUCAGUGGAGAAAGCUCUGGCUUUCAGAUCAAGACCGUACCUCUCAAGGGCUUUCCCUCUCUGAAGCACACGUUGGCUUCAUCCUAAGGCUGUUAUUUGGAUUUGUCCCUGGGCUCUGUGAAUCUGGCUUGUCAGGUGAGUCAAAGCAAGUCUCGGUUCUCCUCACCUUUGUUAUUUUACUUAAGAAAAGCCAGCGAACUUGUAACACAAACAUCCAGAGACCCCAGAACAUAUGUUCUGAGCCCUUUCUAAGAACUCAGCAGUGAGCUAAGUACCAUGGCGGGGAGUAUGGUCAAGACACCAAGAGUCAAAGUGGAGUGUCAACUCCUACACAGAUGAGAUUUAAGAAUUCAAGGUACUGGGUGCUACUGGUACUGCUAGCUACUCCUUGCUGAUACCUACUGUGUGCCGGGCUUCAUGGUAGAUAUUUUAUAAACAUUACCCUCAGUCACAGAAAAAUCCUUGCCAAGUUGACCAAUGAAAUUUGUAGAAACCACACAGCUAAUAACUGGCAGAGCAGGAUUUGAACCCACGUUCUCUGCUUCCAGACUGUGUGUCUCUUUCCCCCCAGCCAGCUGGUAAGGCUGUUAAGGGUUGAACGUGGACGAGUUAAGAUCCGUACUGGUAGGUACUCCAGGUAGAGCCAUGAAGAUCCACCUUAACGGUGAACACCGGAUGUGAAUAGUUGGAAAGGGGGGCUGUAGUGAGUUUUGAACUGCUGACUGAGGGGUUUGGAGCUGAUUCUAUAACGUGGGCGAGGGCAGCUGUGGAGGUUUUCAAGAGGGGGAAUUAACCCUAUGAAAGUGGUAUUUUAAGAAAACUUGCAAGAAUGGCAUGUGGGCAACCCGGAACAGGGAAACCAGCCAUGAAGUUUUGGGCCAGCAGAGGCGUGAGAAUGCUCCCACUUCCCUAUUGGCUGCUCUGUGUGAGAAUGAUUUCUCUUCCUCUCUACUCACCUCCAUUUCAGCACAGCUGCUGAUGUCCCCCUACAUGGCCGAGGCAGUUCUGCCCCUCUGAAGCGCUCUCCCCAGCUCCUGCUGGGCCUGUGGCCUGACUCCCUCAGGCCAGGGGGCCACAGCUAUGUCCAAGGUUGCCUGGCUGUGCAGGGCCUCAGCAGAUCCAAAUAAGCACAUUUUCCUUAGCUUGAGGGAAGCCUGCCAAUCUACUGCCAUCACAAGGGGGUACAAAUCUUUUGCUCUCUUGCUAAAAAUGCAACUGGACCUUAUAGAAACAACUUGGAUGCUUUAGAACAUAAUUUAUUUCCCUUAUCUCAUUAGGGGAAGGAUGGGAAGAUGAUGCCUCUUAUUUUAAAUGGGAGACCAACGUCACAUAUUGCCUAACGUCAUGCUUGACUUUUGCUGGAAGUUUGUCUGUGAAGUACAGAUAGGAUGUCACGAUUUCUUUCUCCUACAAUGUAUUUAGGGCUCCCGGAAAAGACACAGCUACUUUUACCAAGAGAGAAGGUGCCAGUUCCCUGAUGGUGGGUUGCUACCAGCACCCCAGGCUCAGGGACACACCUGUAGAGAUGCGAUUGUGGCGUAUGGCAUGGGGGAGGGCUUUGGGGCAUCUACUCCCUGUUCUCUCCACAUCAGAGGGGCAGCUUCAGCCUCUGAAAGCUGAUACUAGUGGAUCUGGCAACAUGGAGUGGACCCAGGAGUUCAUACAACCAGACAACCAUAGAAUCAGGGAGUAUCAGAGCUGGAAGGUGUCUCAGAGCCCAACAAUAGCAGUGGUCCUCAAAUUUCAGGGUGUAUAAGAAUCCCCAAGGGUGCUCCCAAAAAUCCAGAUUUGUGGGCCCUCCCCCGAGAGAUUCUGACUUAGUAGGUCUGAGGAGUCUGCAUUAUUAGUUGGAACUCUUCACUAUAAGCUACAGGAACUCCUGGUCCUGGUCUGAGCAGGAAAGUAGCCAUAGAAAGGAUACAUGUGGCACGUGGAGCCAAGGGAAGCUGGGCAGGCGGAACUGCUCUGGGACCUAUAGACUCUGGGAAAGCAAAGAAGGAGGUGGAAUGACAUUUAGAGAGUAUCAUCGGGUCAACCUGAUAGCUUAGCGUCAGUUCCACAAGAGGGACCUUAUGGCGUAACUCACACACUCUGUACCCUUCCAGAAAGGUCUUUCCUCAGACCUCCUUCUUGAACCCCGUUGUCACCAGCCUUCUGAUUUGGGCCCUUCCAGGUCCUUAACUAUGGAGCCAAACUACUGUCUGUUUCCUGUGAUUUUCUGUAGACCCUUACUUCAGAUCGGCUCUCCUUCUAGGAAAAGUGGGCAAUCAUCGUCCAUUGGCUAGAGAGAGGUUUUGUGUUACAAACUUGUGGUAUUUUCUGGUGAUUUUAAUAGACCUAAUACUUAUGCAGUGUUACUGUGUGCUAUUAUACGGUUAAUCGUUGCAAUAACUCUGGAAAAUUGGUGUCCCAUUGUCACUCUCAUUUUACACAUGAGGAAGCUGAAACCAGAGAGGCUAAGUCAUGUGCCCAAGGUAUGUAGAAAGUAAUGGCCCAGCUGAGAUUUAAGCCUAGGCAUUCUGGCUGCAAGGUUUGUGCUCUUCUAACCACUGUGCUGUAGCUGCUGUCCUUCUUUUGAAGAACUGUGUGUUUGUGAAAUAUAUCAGGCCUCCACGCAUCACAUCCGGAGGGUUUUUAGGCUUUUACUGGGCUGCCCACUUAGUCCCUUUUGGUCGUAGAUCCCUAUGAUCAGGUAUCCACUGCCAAAGACGCCCAUGGUUUGCAUCCUGAUUCCUUCCACAGUCCCCUGAUCUAUGGUGGUAACCAUGCCCGCCUCGUCUCUAGUUAUAGAGACACUGUCUCUAGAUACAGCCAGUACCUAGGUUGAACCAUUAUAGUUAGAAAAUCUUUUUUGUCUUAACUCUCAAAACUGCCUCCUCGGAGAAGGGUAAGGUAUGGCACUCCUCCUUCUGUAUCUUUCACAGGGCAAAAUGAAAACUCCCCCUCAGCCCCCCAUCAUCUGCAAACAGGCCAUAGUUAGCUAACACGUAACGAGCACUUAUAUUUCCCACAGGCUGUUUGAAGUGUGUCACACGUACCAUCUCAAUGAAUCCUUAAAACAACCACAUGGAGUAGGUACUCCAUUUAGAACUCUGAAAUGAGGCAGGGCAGAGGUUUGCCUCAGGCCCCCCAAAAGUCAGUUGGAGAACCAGGAUUUAAAACCAGGCAUCUGGCUGCAGGGCCAGCGCUGAGCCGAUCUUGCCACAGCGUCAGCUCCUUCUCUCUUGCUAUGUCAGCAGGGAAGGUUAAUUCAUCCACUCAACAAAUAUUUAUUGAGCGCCUACUCUGCCAGGUUCGGGAAGGCCGUAUGGUCUCUGACUUUAUGCAGCUUAGUCUAAUGGGGAGGAAGACACCGAUCAAAUAAUCCUGUCAAUCUGUGUGCAAUUGCGUGUGUGUACAAGCACUGAAGCGGACAUCUAUGGUGCGAUGACAGUGCGUAAUAGGAUGAUUUUACCCGGUCAGUUAGGUCGGAGCUGGAGGCCUGAAACCACAAGGCCCCUUACGACUAGGACCUGCAAGCCUGUUUGCACACUACUGCUUCACACUCUGUGACCCAACCCCAGCUUCGGGAGCCUCAGGGCAAAGGGGAAAAGAAACAGCAGGAGAAAGUGCCGUGCACCCCUCUGGGAUCUUCUCUCCUUUCCUCUCGUACCUGCUGCUUUUUCCAGCCCUGAAGGUGAACUCAUGAGAAGAGUGAAGCAGCCUGGCCUCCUGGAGGGUGCCCUGAAAGCUCAGUCUUGCCCAGUGUGAGAACCCAGCAUCAGAAACUCUGGGGUGGAAGACAGUUCCUGGAAAAAACUAACCACAACAGACUCGCUGGGAGAGAAAUGGGCAUCAAGCACAUAGACAUUGUGAGAGAGAAGGAUGGAGACUUCACAGGAUCAGGGGUCCCACUGGCAGAUCCUAGAGAGGUGGACAUGCCCUUCAUCUCUGUUCGCCUAGUGUGCCUUCUGUGGGAAAGUGAGGAUGAGUAUGGGGCCCCUUGAAGCCACAUCGCCUCCACAGAUUCGCAUAUGUCACCACACGCAUUCGUGGGAGAGCUUUGGCAACUCAGGGACCACACAGGUGAUUUUUGAAGCACUUUAUCAUCUCGGUUCAGUGUGUUAAUUAAAGGAGAGGAUGGAGAAGGAUUCUCUGUCUCCUCUGAAAAGGCUUGAUGGCGGAGGUCGUCUGCCUAGGUCUUUGAUCCUUCAGCUCCAGCCCAACUGACAUCUCAGGUAUCAGAGACCCAGAAAAUGGAAGAUUUCAUUCACUUAAAGCCAAUUAAAAAAAGGAGGCUGAUCAACCCAAACCAAACCUUUCCCAGACGGGCAAAAAGAGAAACAUGGGGGGAAAAUAAAAAGAAGAUGACAGUGUGAGAGCAGAGGAAUAGCUCUCAGAGAAGCUGGGAAGUAAUAUGAGGUCAGUGCCCUCAGUGGUGUUCACUGUCCCCACACUUCAAAGGCGAGAUUCUUUGCCAAGUCCUAGUGUGAGGUUACAUGCAGCACAGGCUGUCACGCCCUCCAAGAUCAGGGCCAGGACUGAUAACCAAGGCGGGAUGCCGGGAGUGCAGGGCUGGCCAGAGAGCUGGCCUCCAGUUUAUCAAGCCGAGGGGAUGGCACUUUCUUCUAGGCUCACCAGACAUGGUGACUCCACUGCCCUGAGAGCAUUUGGUGGAAGGUUUCUGCCCAAAUCCCCGUCUUUCGGACAACCACAUUGCAAAAAACUAGUAACGAUGAGGAGUUGAUCCGUGUAGUAUUCCUCCACUUAAGGGAAACCUGAUUAGAAAAGAUGGAAACAAAAAGUAGCUUUUGUUCAGAGUAAAGAUGCUGAAGGGAAGGUGGCUUAGGUGAGUGAGUCUCACACAUGGAGUCAAGAGAGAGAGUUCGAGUCCCAGCUUUGCCACUUACUAACUGGCAUCCUUAUGCGGUCUCUCAAAUUGGAUGGCUCUCCAAUCCUUUGGUUGUAAAAUGGAGCUAAUACCAACUGCCUUAUAAGGUUGUGAAUAUUUCAUAAAUGACGUAUUUUGAAUGCAAGGGCUUUUUAAGACUAUACAAUACUUUGCAAAUAAAAAGGAUUAUUUCCAUUAACCCAAAAAUCAAUAAAAGAAAAACAGUAGGUGAAUUAAGUUUCUUUCUCCUCUGCUGUUACAAAUCCAGAGCUGCUGUGUUGCUACUCACAUUGUAUCCCACACGAAUGGCACUCCAGGAGCAUAUGUGAAUGGUGUCCCUUGUGUGGCAAUGCAUGGCGUCAAAUCAAGUGGAAGGAAGUCAGCUAUAAAUGAAAAGCACUUUAGGGCAUGAUUCCAGUCUAUAUGCUACAAAGCUAUCAAAUCAGCAAAACAUUAAUGUGAAGCAAUGUGUCAGUAAGAAUAGAGUAAAUUAUGCUGCAGUAACAAAAUAAUUCUCAAAUCCCAAGAGCUUAAAACACAAAGGUUUAUGUCUUACUCACAUUACAUGUCCAUCACGGGAUAGCAGGGGGCUUUGCUCAUUCUAGUCACUAAGGGACAAAAGGUGACAAAACAGUCCCCUCUGUUGAACACUGUGAGUCACCAUGCUGGAGAGAAGGAGAGCUCUGAAGAUCUUGCAUCGGUGGUUGCAUGCUCCCACCUGGAAGGGAGACACAUUACUCUCACUGCCCACCCAUUGGCAGAGCCAGUCACAUGACUGCAGCAACCCACAAACACCCCGAAAGAACAAUUCUGCCCAGAAGGUGGAGAACCAGAAAUACUUGGGAACACUAAUCACUGCCCCGAUCAGUAACUGAAAACCAACCUCGUCAGAAUUUUAUUUACUACUAUCAAGUAGGGUGGGAAUCCCCUAGUGAGGGCCAGUGUUCAGAAACUCCAGCCUCUGAAAGGAUGUCUAGGUAUGGUCUAGUCCUAAUUUUACUAGAUGCCCCAAUUGUUUAUUUGAGCUAGUCUCAUUGCUAUGAAAACUAACUGUAUUUAACUAUUCUUCGUUUUGUAUUUAUUGAAUCAUAGAAUGGCAGAGGUGGAUGAAACCUCAGUGCUCCAGCAGUUUCACAAAGAGGGAACAGACCAGAGAGAGGCUAGGGGGCUUUUCCUAAUCACACAGCCAUGUAGGGACUGGCCUGGGACAAGCAUCCAAACUUUUUGUUCAAGUCUAAUCCACUUGCCUCUACACCACAUUUCCUUUAGCUUCUUUUGACAAGACCAGAUGUUUCCAUUUGGUGGGACCAGCUCUGAUGUUAUUUUUACUAAUACAGCUGACUCAUCUAACAGAAUUCAUCUGCAUGACUUCUUUCAUCAAAUAAUGGGAUGUCUGCUCAGGGAGGCCAACAGACCCAGGCUUUUAGUGGAACUCCUUGUGGAGUGGCCUGUUUCUAAGACAUUCAUAAGUUCAUUUGCUAGGAGGCUGGCUGGCCUAUUGAGUUCACAUUUGAAAGCUGUUUGUUGCAGCUUUAGGCAACUUAUAAGAUGAGCCCUUUAUCUCCUAAAGAUGUCUUCUAAUGCUGUGUUGUGUUACUUGAUUGGCUACUAUAAUAAGAACAACCAUUUGUCCCAUGCUAAACUAUGAAGUCCGUGAGAGCAAGGACCAUUCUUCCUCGGUCCAUCGAUAUAUUUCCAGUUCCCAGGCCCUCAGUAAAAUUGGUGGCAUGAAUGACUGCUUGCUCUGGGCCACAUGCAGUGCUGGGUGCUUAAUAAAUAUCUUGUCCUCACAGCAACCUUGUAGGGUAGAUAUUAUUGGUCCCAUUUUAUAGAUGAGUUAACUAAAGCUAAAUAGUAGAGGCCAUGUAGCUAAUAAGUGGAUAAACUGGGGCUUAACCUGGGCCCAUCUGGCUCCAAAGGAUCCUCUCUGUCCACAGUACGGGUGGUUUGUCUUCUUUCUCAACAUUUUUGCCUCCACAAAUCUGUGAGCUUCUUAGGCUCAGCUUCACAGUGUAAGCGUCUCUGUCUGCUUUAUGCCACCCAGAAAAAAGUGCUGUGUACAUUACAAGUGGAUCAUGAAUCAUUGCUGACAUUAAUAUUGUUGACAAUAAUAUUGAAUUUGGGCAUAAUCAGAUUGAAAUUAUAGCCCCAGAAAACAUUCCUGAGAGAGUCGGUUAGGAGUUCAACCCCUGGAGUUACACAGAUCUGGCUUUGAGCCCCAGCUCUGCCACUUGUGGGCUGGGUGAGCCUGGGCAGGCAUUUCACCUCUAUCCACCUCUGUUUCCUCAUCUGUAAAAUGGUGAUAAAAAUGCCUAAUUGAUGAGGUUGUGGUGAGCAUCAAUGGGGUAUAAGCAAGACGCUUAGUAAAGUUCCCGCUGUUCUGUCACUAGUCGCGUAGUAACAUCAGGAGGAGGAUUUAUAAGAGCUGAAGCAUUGGUAGAGAUUGCUAAUACGGAGAGAAUUGCUGGUGGGUUAUUUAAAGUUCCUCCUUGUUAUUUUCUUCAAGCCAUUCCAUAGUUAUCCAUUUGUUCUUUGACAAGUUCCUGUCUGAAGAGUGGCUAAGAAGACUGGGUCUUUCAAAUGUGUGGUUCUCGAUUUGCAGCUGAUGGGGUUCAAGUCACACUACCCCAAACUACAGCAGCUUGGCAUAUGGAAUGUCUUAAACUGAAGGGGUUUGAGAAAAUGGCGGAAACAGGAUGGUCACUCUGACCUCGCCCUCCCUCCCUCUCCAUUAUUCCCUGAAACAGGUCAUAAAUCUCCUGUGGGAAAGAUGCCCUCCCUGGACCAGGAGGAAGGAAGACAUUCUUAUCACAGGAGAUAGCAUUUGGGGCCGAGAAAUCCGUACAGACAAAUGUUGUUAGACUCACCCUUAUCUUCGCUGGUCCUCCCUCACGAAUUACUCUCCAAGCCCAAAGCCCUCAGCACUCAAUUCUUCAGAAAUUUAUUGUUUCUUUGUCUAAAAGGUAUUUCUUUGUCUAACAGCUUCCAACUCUGGUCACUUCUUCAGGUCUUCGUUCUCUUGUGAGGACUCUCAUGGGCAUGCAAAAGUUCAAUAAAAUUUGUAUGUUUUUCUCCUGUUCAUCUAUCUUUGUCAGUUUAAUUUUCAGACCCAGCCAAAGACCCUAAGAGAGUUUAGGAGCGUUUUCCUCCCCUCCACGUCCCUGGAGGUUUGGGCAGGAAAUCACCCAUUGAAGCUGGAUUUUAGGUACUCAGAACUCAACUGUUGUGGGUGAGAAAAUGGGAUGUACGCACAGUGCACUGAAAAUCCACACCGUAAAGGCCCCUUUGAAGGGAGAUGCUGUGACGGUUGGAAGGCAAGCAAAAGCAAAUGCCGACAAGAUCUUCUUCGUGAGUUACUUGUACGUGUGUAUGAUCGGUCAAAUCCUAUUUCUUACUUUGGUUUUCUUUGUUCAUACAAUUUGGAGAUAUAGCCUUCCCCAACAAGCAGAAAUGGUAGGAAGAUAAAAAACAAAUUAUUUAAGAAUUGAAAUCUCUGAGGUCUUUCAAAGGAAAGAACUAUGAAGGUUCGAUGUAUCCUCAUUACUAUUACGGAAGUCAAAUGACUUUAAAUUUAGGGGGAAAGGUCUGGGCUUAAGUCCCACCUCUGUGACUUGAGCACAUUGUUUAGUCUCUCUGAGUUUUAGUUUGCUAACCCCAGAGUGAGGCUGAAGGAACCCUCCGCUUGCCUGCUGUCCCUGUCUGAGCGAGAUGAGAUGAGGACCAAAUGAAGGUGUUUCUGCAAAGUGCUUCGUAAACUCUCAAGUACUUUUCUCAUCUUAGUUACUGCUUUUAUAAUUAUCACCUUGACUCUCUGUGUCUCCGGGGAGUGAGCUCAGAAAGGCUCAGGCAGUGAUGAGGAAGGUGUGGAGUGACAGUUCCCAAGAAGGGGCUAUUUUGAUCGUGGAGGGCCGGCCGCUCCCGCUGAUUGUGGCGGGUGCGAGGAGACAGGCGUUGGCUUUAUCUUCUGAGCGAUGACCUGCAGUGUGAUUUUUCUGGCCACCCUUCUCCCAUCCUCUGGUGUCCCGUCAGGAGCACAGGGAGUUCAGUGGGGGAGGCGGGCCUUGUGGAGAGAGGGCCUCCUCCUUCCUACAGGGCAUACAAGGGCUUAUGGCAAGAGGCCAAGGGCUGAAUUUGAAACCCAGGUAACAGAGCCAGUGGGACGAGAUUUGAUUCUGCUAAUCCAGAUCCUAGAGCGACUAGAAUGAGGGAUUUGUAUUUUUAUGGUGCAUUUAUAAAAUACAGUUGUUCUUUUAUAUGCUAUUAAUAAUAGAUUAUAAUGAUAAUGUUAUUGGUUGACAAAGGACCAUUUUCCAAACUAUGAGACAGAUAAACACAUUUUAGAAUUGCAAGACUUUCUUUUCUCUCUUUCCAUUUCUUUUACUUUGUUUUGUUUUCUCUGUUUCAUCAAACAUUCAUAGCACUUCUGCUGUGUACCUGGACUGUGAUAGGUGCUAGGAAUACAAAGGAAUAACCCCACCUCUGCCACCUGGGAAUUAUAAUGUGGCUAAACUCAGUGGUGGAUGGGCAAGGAAGGAAUGAAGCUUUGUUGAAUAUUCUAUUUAUCAGUCACUGUACUUUCCAUUUUCACAUAUAUUUAUUUAAUUUAAAACUGUAAAUGAUCUCCAUAAGGUAGCUAAUGAUAAUAAUAACGAAACACAAAUAUUAUUUCAUUUAAUCCUCAAAUAACCCCAUAAAGCAAUACUAUUACGUCUGUACUGUCCUUCAGGAUGCUGAAACUGAGAGAGUUCUGGAACUUGCAGUGAGUGACUAAGCAGGCAUUCAGGCCCCUGUUCCCUAAAUAUGGAGCCCACCACGCAACUCCACCCUUCUGAGAAUUACCCCAAGGACCCCUGGCUCUAAGUGGUGGAGCUGCAUUUGUACCCAAGUCCCGGGCCCAUGGGGCUCAAACUCUUUGACCCUAAGCAGAGGCCACUUCUCAGACACUGAGUCCAAGCAUGAGGCCAGAGAAUAGGCUGGAGACAGGACUUGGGGCAGACUGGGCAGGGUCCUAGCGAGCCAGGGGAAAGAGUGGGACUGUAUCCAGUGUAACACGGGGAGUGAAGAGGAGAGAAAGGAGGAGCUGUGGGCUAGAAGCAGGGAGAGCUUGGCUUUCGUGCUGGCGCGCCAUCUUUAUUCUGGAAUGGUCAAGAUGUAGCCUCUUUAUGCCUCAGUUAUCCCGGCUGUGAAUUGGGGACAGAGAGGGCAAAGGGCACUCAGUAUUCCUUCUUUUACAACAGUGGCCUGGGAGCAGUAAGCCUGGCUUGAAGACAGGGCGCCAGCUCUGGCUCCCUCAUACACCAGCUGAGUGACUGUCGGCAAGUCAACUUGAUGCAGCCUCCCUGUUCCCCCUUCUCUGGAGCGGGUCAUCCUACAUUCCCCAUGGGGUUCUUGUGAGUAUUAAAUGAGGCAACACAUGAGUAAAUGAAGUGACUGAAAACUGGAUGGAUAAAUGUAAGUGCAAUUAGGAUGUUUAUUUUAGUGUGAUAAACUAAACAUGCCACCGGGUCUGCAGGGUACUGUGUGGUUAAUUUCAUGUGUCAACUUGACUGGGCUAAGGGAUGCCCAGAUAUCUGGUAAAACAUUAUUUCUGGGUGCGUCUGCAAGGGUGUCUCCAGAAGAGAUUAGCAUUUGAAUCAGUAGACUGAGCAAUGCGGGUGGGCAUCAUCAAUCCACUGAGGGCCAAAAGAGAACAAAAAGGUGGAGGAAGGGUGAAUUCGCCCUCUCUACUUGAACUGAGAUCCCCAUCUUCUCCCGCUCUGGGACAUUGUUGCUCCUUGUUCUUGGGCUUUUGGACUCAGACUGGGACUUAUGCCAUCAGCCCCCUGAUUCUCAGAUUGAAUUACAUACCGGCUUUCCUGCGUUUCUAGCUUGCAGACAGCUGAUUGCGGGACUUCUCAGCUUCCAUAACUGUGUAACCAAUUCCUAUAAUAAAUCUCCUCAUCUGUACAUCUCUGUAUAGCCUAUUGGUUCUGUUUCUCUAAAGAAUCCUGAAUAAUACAGGUCCUGUCCCCUUUUUACAGGGAACUCCCUGGCGACCUGUCAGCCUGCUAUCACAUGGGCUUUAGGGUCAGAAUGCCUUGCAUUUAAAAAUCUCCUUCUUUCUAACUAGGCUGACCACUUUAAAUAACAGAAUCUCAGUCCCUUUAAUUAAGCAGGGAAGGUAAUAUUGGCCUAAGAUGCUUGUUAGAAGGCUUAAUUAAAUGUAAGCAGUUACUGCAGUGCCUGACGCAUAGUAAGUUCUCAACAGACCGUGCACCAUGUUCCUUCUCAGAGCUCAGGCUGCAGAUGCUCCCUCUCCCUCUUGGAAAGCAAAACUAUCACGGGGCAAGUACAUCAACCUGCCUGUGUUUCCUGAAUCUCUCCCAAUACCGUAGAGCUGGACAAGGGCUUACAAAUCUUCAGACCCAAGCCUUUCCUUUUUCAGAUGAGGAUCUUGAAGACCAGAGAGGUAGAUUUUGAUGGUAGCUAGCGGUAGCUCUGGGGACAGAAACACUUCUCUCACCUUCUCCUCUGGACUCAGCUCCCAGGUGUCUUUGUUCAUCUCACCAUUGCCUCUGUCUGCUCCUAGCCCAACAGCAGCCUUGCAAGCCAGCCUGCUCUGAGUUGCUCUGGGCUGCUCGCUGGAGCAGAGAAAGUGCUGCAGAAGGCCACACUGUGUUGGCCCUAGGAAGCAUCAGAAGUAGGGCCUUGAGAGGUUCUGGCAGCAGCGACCUACUUACAAAAGGAAAAAAGAGGGAGCAGUCAUCAUGCAUUUUACUGUUGGGAGGGCUGGAUCCUCUGUGAUCUGAUUCUUGGAACACAAGCUUGCUCUAAUUGAGCCUGAAGAAAUGGGACUAGGGCGCCCUUGGGCUCUGCUGUCAGAGGCACCCAUGCUUAGUGUGGUUGAUCAUCCAAAUAGAAGCCCAUGAUGGAGGGAGAAAGAGACAGAGACAGAACCAGAGCACAGAACCCUUGUUAUGCAGGAAAGGAAAGGGGGAGAAGUGGAUGCGACAGCCCCAAUCCAUUCUCACUGCAGACUCCAUUCCAAAUGUUAACAAGAAUCUGUGUGGCAUUUCACAGUUUACACAUUGCUUUUGUGUUAUCUCAUUUAAUUCUCCACAACAGCACAAAGUUAGGAAUUUUUCCUUCCUUUCAACAAAUAUUUAUUGAGUUCUUACUAUGCCACUGGAGGUAGGUAUUGGGGUCAAGAAAUUUUUGCUGGUCAAGCAUAUUUUGAAUUAUUAAUCACAUUUUAGAGAGGAGGGAGCUGAAGUUCAGAGACUGACUCAUCGUAAGUACUCGAUAAACAGAUUCAGAACUCAGAUUUAAGACUCAAAAUCUUUCCAUCAUACCACACAGCUGGGUGCCCAUUAGGGUCAUCAGACCUUAAUAUCCCCCAUUUUGCCCCACCUCCAUCACCCUGGAAUGACUCAGAGAGAUGAAUGCAUGAGAGCUCUGCAUUUACACUGGUCAGCUCACACAGGUCCACAAGCAGAGCCAAAACCCUCUGCUUUGCCUUGCAAUCUCAUCUUCAAACACGGAAUGAAGGGGGUCUCUGAUUCUUCCUCUGCUUCUAGGAUUGAGCGCAGCCGGAGUUAUACACGUAGAUUCCCAGGUCAAGAAUGUACUUAUUUAUAACUAGAAGGAUAUAGGCUGGAUAUCAAUCAAUAACCAUCUAUUGAGCAUCUUCUAAACGCUGAGCAACAUGCCAGGCUUGUAGAGAGGAGAUGGGACUUACAGGGUGACUUAUAGGAUGUGUAAGAAUUAGGGAAAUCAAACCGUAGGAUGCCAAGACUGGAGGCUGCGAGACAGUGAGACAAUGAGCUGGCUAAGUAAGAAUGGGCAGUUCUUGGAUUGGUGCGCAGGGGAAGAGAGAGCAUCCCAGGCAGAGGCACAGUUGGGGCAGACAUAGAGGUGGGUAUAUUAUGGUAUUAGGGAAAGGCUAGCAAGAAAGAGGCCUGACUACGUGAUCGCCCGGAUUGCAAAGCACAGAACCUGAGACAAUAGCCCUGGAUUCCCAUACCCUAAAGAGGAAUGGGCUUUAAUCACAGCAAGCCUAGGUAAGUCCAGAAAACCUUGGAACCUCUAGGGUCUGACCCUUCAGCCAUUUUGAGAUGCUCCUUAUUCCUUGGUAUGAGGCCUGGAAAAGGAGGAAAGCUGCAAAAUUCCCACCAGAUGGCAGUAUUUCCUAGUGCGACUGCCCUGGGGGCGCGCCAUGGAGGGAUUUGCCUGCAGAGUGCCUGGUAUUAUGACUUACAGUACCAGGCAGCUGUCCCCAGAGCCAGAGUUCUGGUUCUUUCCAUGCCCCACCCUCCCUACUCCCCCCUCCCCCCAAUAAAAUACUUCCAAGGAUUCUAUUCUGGGAAUGGGAAAUGUGAGGUUGUCAGGGGAACCCUCUCCAAUUCAAGGGGUACCUCCCCCUCCAUUUAAAAUCUGAAUGGUGCAAGCAUUCUCACUUCCCUGUGAGCCACAGGUGCCUGGGGAGCAGAGCAUCUGGAUCCUGUCUGUGUUCAGCUUUGCCCACCCCUGUGUGAUUCCUCAGUGACGGGCUCUGAAGUAUACCAGACGUUUCACUCCCCCUCGGUUGAAUAUGUACAGUUACCUAGCAGGUCCCGGGUGUUUCACAUCCCAGAUGGCCAUAUCCAAGAUGGGAGCAGAGAGGACACAGCAGAAGUGUGAGGUGAGGGCCCUUGGGUUGUACCUGCAUGACAUCAGUUGCCUUUUCCACAGAACAAAUGGCCAAGGGCUAGAGAGAUAGGUGACACUGGGAGACUCUGAGGUGGCUCAACAAAUAAGAAUGACUGAUUCUAUAAAUAAAAGGGAAAAUUGGGAAGUUCCACAUGGAUGUUUUUUUGUUUUACUGUAACCCUAUCAUAUUAUAAUACAUAAAUUACAUUCUGCAAUUCAGCUGCCCGUAUUUUUUUAAACUCUUAAAUGCGUUUAUUUAUACAUGCUUUCCUAUGCAAGAGUUUCACCUCUGCCUCCUGGAACUGUUAAGUACGCAUGUGGGACUACAUCAUCCCUGUUACCAACCCUGCCACUCUAAUUGCCCCUCAUGCCCUCCAUCCAACUGAGUGCAGCCCUGAUUGGAAAUGUUCUGGGUCCUGGCUUCUAAACCUCCUUUCUCACAGCCUUUUUCUGCUGCUUGCUCCACAGUGGGACUCCUGUCACCAGACGUGGGAUCCGCACGUUCACCGUCUCUUCUAUGGAUGUACCCAGUAUAAGACCACUGCUGCUGUCGUUUGAUCUCCUUUCUCUCAUCCUUUCAGCAUGACUUUGAUCUAUUUUUUAGAGUUUCACUCUCUAAUAGAUUGGUUCUAGGAAAUUUUGUUUUUCCAUUCUUAAGAUGUUUGGCGAGUUUUCUCUUCUCACUCCCUCUAACCACCCACCUUUUCCCUCUGAUCAUUCAGCUGUGUCAGUCCUACUUUUCUACACUUCUUACCAACUUUGCAAUCUUUGUCCUUAAUAACUACUUCUGUUUUACCAUUUCCUUUCUUAGGCAUCACCUGUAAAUGGGUGCCCUGAAGCGGGUUACAAACCAUUGGCAUCUCUCACUCAUUGUCUCUUAUUUGCAGUCUUCUGAGGAUCUUUACUCUGUCACUCACGUGUGUGUUGAGCAACUUCCAGAAGGGCUGAUCUGGGAAUCAUGCCCAGGUGACUCAAAAGUGUUCAAGAAGGUGUAUAUGGGGCUUUCUGGGAGAUCUCGUAACAAAAUGCACGAACAUAAAGCAUGUCCACCUUUUCUCUUCUGAGCAACGUUGUAGUUUGGGAGAUUACAUUCCUGACCAAAUACUGAGCUUUAGAUCAGAGCUCACGAUUGGCCACGACUUAUAAGACGUCGCACAAUAACAACAAAUGAGUAACAUCAGCGGAACCAGCGAAGCUCUUCAUGAGGAUGCCAAAUCAUCCUUCCUGGGAACUUGUAUGGAACUUCUUUGCCUAUGAUGCUGUCUACCCACAAAACUCCAAGCUACUGAAGAGCAGAUCUGCUGUCUUUGCAUCAUCAGGACCUGGUCUGGUGUUUGUCACAGGCAGGGACUAAAUGUUUAUUGACUGACUACAUGAAUCCCUUCUGAGGACUCCCACAGAAAACAGUCUGUUCUUUGACCACGAUUUUUAUCUUUUUCUACUGCAUUUUAAGUAAUUUAUCUAUGUCCUAUCUCAAGAACGGAUGUUGUCCUAUGCUUGUUCAUCUUUGUGCCUUGCAGCCAGAGGAGUGCAAUCGAUAUUUUAUAGUUCUUGUUUUGAAUAGGCAGUAGCUUUUCUGCUACACUCUCCUCUUAAUUCAGCCAGAAUUGUGAGAAAAAUCUCUUCACAGUUUGCUUUUUUUAACCCCCAAAUACUGAGUCCCUAUUCUGGAAAUAGGUUCUUGUCUGUGGCUCAAGGCCAUCAGAGUCAGCCACUGCAUGUCAGCUUUCCUUUUAUGGGCUCAUUCCAAGGAAGCAAUUCCCAAGAUCAUGCAAAUGAACCACCUGAUUGCUGAACUCUGCCCAAUCGCCUGGGGAACUGACCCACCAACAGCAAAGUCUUCAGAAGUUUUUCAACUGCUUCGUCAAAAAUGUUCUCUUUUUCCAACCUAAAAUCUGCAUUCUCACACCUUUCCUAUAAUGGGCCAGAUGAAUCUGCCCUGGAUGAUGCAUUUCUGUGCGAGCAUUCCUGGGGCCGGCUCUCUGUGUGUCCUGUCCUCGCAGGGCAGCGUUAACGGUCCCCUCUUUCACAUGGAGGGCCUGUGUAGGAAGGCCCGAUGUGUUUUGUGUGCCAGCGUCUCAAAUUCAGGCUUUACUUACUCCACUCAAAGGCACAGAUGUUUGGCAUUUCUCUGACAUUCUGCAUUUGUGAAGGGAAAUAGCAGUGCGGGUGACCUUACCUUGGACCGGUGGCUCACGAGGGGAGUGGAGCGCCAGACCCUUCCUCUCACUUACGCAGGCCAGCAGAGAAAGGGUGUCUCCGCUGUAGAUGGACAUUUCUAGCAUCCAUGGACCUGCAUCUCUGCAGGAUGAAACACAAAAAGGAGGAGAGAAGCAGAAAGGCCCCUCUGAUGAGUGAGCUGCCAAGAGGUGGGCUCUGGUCGCAAUAGCCAGAGUCAUGCAAGCAGCCACCACCACCACGGGGUGUAAACUUCUGAGUGAUAGCUGCCUCGUGACAGCAGAUCCCACAAAGCUGAGAAAGCUGGAGAGGGGAGAAUUCAGAGGAAGCGAGAGAGAAGAGGCCAAGGGAACUGUCAGCAGAGGCCGUGGAAAGCAGUGAGGGAGCAGGCGCCUUUCCUGGGGAGGCCUCCUGGAUGGAGGUCCAAGUCUUUUGUAUGGGUUGCUGGCUCACAUUCGUAAUUGCUUUCAGAGCUUUCAAAUUGUUUUACAGACCUUUUGAAAGAUCACCUUCCAUUUGAUCCUGGCCCAGCCGACACAUCAGAAUGUGUUUGUGAUGUACAGAGGAAUAAAUACAUGCUCGCUGCCCACAUUGCCUGAAUUUUUGCAGGAUCUUUAAGUGGCAUAUUCAGUGGGUGGUACAGUCAAGUGUGGUGGUGCCAGUGGUCGUUACUCUGUCAGGUAGGUACAAAGAUACACUGAGUAAAAUGCUGUGGAAGUAACGCUUGUUUAACAUGGACCUCAUGUCUGUGGAUUUCUGUAGAUGAGGAAAUGGGUCCAGAGAGAUGAAAUCCCUUGACCGCAGGUCCUUCUCGCUCAUCCACCCUCCCUCCCUCUUUCACAGAAAGCUCUUUGAAACAAUCUUGAGCCAUUCGGUGAAUCUAAGUGUGUACAAAAACACAUACAGAUGUACACACAUUCUUUGUUAUUCUUACAAGUAGUCUUUUAAUGAAAAUUAUUUUAGCGCAUAAUAUGAUAACCAAAAUGAUGGCCGUCCCAGCCGAGUCGCUUUUAUAACAUGGUAUAGCAUUUGCAUCAGCUGAUUAGCGCAUUUAAGUAAACAAGAAUGAUGAUAACAGGAGUAAGCGUAGAAACUCUGUUUGCUCAAAACCGACUAAAGCACAGCAGAGUCGGCUUACUUAAUCCUGUUGUAAACCCCCAGGAAGAGGCAUUAUUUUAUCCCAUUUUGUUAAUGAGGAAAGUGAAGCUGUGAAGUAGCAGAUCUUAGGGUUACCCAACUGGCAAGUGUGGACUCCAGAUUCCAACACUGGUUUUCCUCACUCCAGAAAUCCAGUUCUUCUCGUCUCUUCUAGACUCUGCCUUUCCUGCAGUUUCAUCAGAACAUAUUCUGCUUAACCAGGUUUCAGCACGCAUUUCCAUCUCAGGUCCCUAAAUAGCCUCUGCCAGUCUCCUUCCAGGCAUGUGUCAGAGUCCCAUUUCCCUCUGCCCUCCCCUUGAGGCGCCCCUGCCAGCUCCUCAGGCCUCCAAGCUCGCUGCUGCCUCUCACGCCCCUCUGGGGGCUGCUGCGUGACAUCCUCCCCUCCUGAGUCUGGCCCCUUUCAAGAACCUUUUAGUCUUUUUAUUAUUAUUAUUAUUUCUGUUGCUGUUUUUGUCUGUUAGCUCAGUUUACUCAAUCUCUUCUCCUCUAGUUUGAAAGAGGCGGCCGGAGCUCAGCGAGGCUCCGGGGCCGUGCAGCGGCCUCCCUCCCUCUCUGCCCGCGUGCUCUCCAGGAUGGUGUUUGCUAUGUGCCUCCUCACUCGGACGCUUUAUAUUUUUAGCUCAUUUCUUUUUUCUCCUCUUUCUAUCUUUUAAACAAAUUUAUUAGGCCUCUAAAAUUUUAUAUAACUUCUAUUCCCAAAGCUUAGGUCAAGCUUCUUUUUUGAUGUCGUAUGAACACUUCAAGUAUAUUUUGAACUUUACCAAAAUAGGGCUUUUUUUUCCUGUUCAAUUAAACAUUUCAACAGAAAAUAUUUCAAACUUUAGAAAGGUUUAGAGAAUAGCAUAAACACACGGAUACUUACCACACAGCUUUCCAGAAUCUUAACAUUUAGCCAUGUUUUUUUUCAAGAAAGAAAACAACUCAAUUCUAAAAAUCAGUAGUUAAAAGGAAAUAAUUGUGAUUCCUGUGUGAACUACAUUUCAGGAUAACUAGAUAGCCCUUGUAGAUGAAGGAAGAGUCUUUCCUUUAUUCCCCCUUUUUUACAGAAUAAUUCAGUCUAAUAAAGUGAAAGAAAUAAUGAGAUUAGAAAAUCACCGUUUUGUAACCUCUGGUGAAGUCAUGAAUCCAGGCAAUGAUCGUCAAGGGGUGAAACUAGCAAGUGAGGGGUUAACGGGGAACUUCGCGGUGGAAGGGUCAGGCUGCCACCAUCUUACUCAUUUUUAUCAAUUUUACCAUCACUGAAACAGGGUGCGUCUCCUGACAUAGUGCAGUGGAGGUAUUCAGCAUAACCCAGGAUGUUUUCCUGCCAAAAAAGUUGAACUUGAAUUUAACCAAAUCUCUAGGGCAAACUUCCUGUAUGGAGACCACAGGGGAGAAAGAGACAAGUCAAAUGACACCAGAAGAAAGCAAAGAGAUAAAUCUAGAACGUGCGACAGUCUGAAGGCCAACUGACCCGGUAGCUUCAACAAGGAAAUCCACCAAGAAGGAAGAAAGAAAGGCAUUUCAAAGGCGGCCAUGAAGCAGCCUGCAUUCCGUGGAGUCCUGAUCCUCUUCCUGAUCUCUGCAGUAAGAAAUAGGGAGAGAAAUUUCCAGAACUUGGACAUAUGGACUCUUAACAGUUUUAAUGAGGCAUAAUUGGUAUACAACAAAUUUCAUAUUUAAAGAGAACAAUUUCAUGUUUUGACACAUGUGUACACCUGUGAAACUAUCAUGACAAUCAAGAUAAGGAACAUAUCCAUCACCCCAAAAUCUUCCUCAUUUCUUUUUAUAAUCCCUCCCAUCCCUGUUCCCAGACAUUCACCAAUUUCCUUUUUGCCACUAAAGAUUAGUUUCUAUUUUAUUGACUGUGACAUCACCCAGCAAGUACUUUUUUGUCUUGCUUACUUCGCUCAGCAAAAUUAUUGUGAAAUCCCUCCACGUUGUUAGUUGUAUCACUGGUUCAUCCCUCUUCAUUGCGAAGUCGUGUGUCAUUGUAUCAGUUUAUCAGUUUACCUGUUGAUGGACAUUCAGGUUGUUUCCAAUUUUGGACUAUUACAAAUAAAGCUGAAAUCAAUAUUCAUGCAUGGUCUUUGUACGGGCAUAUGCUUUCCUUUCUUUUAAGUAAAUAUCUAGGAGUGGAAUGGCUGGAUCAUAUGAUAGUGUAUGCUUAAUGUUUUAAGAAACUGCUAAAAGGUUUUCCAAAGUGGUUGUAACACUAUACGUUUCCAUUCACAAUGUAUGGUUUGAAAGUUCUAGUUUUUCCACAUGUUUGCUAAUGUUUGGUGUGGUCCUUUUUUAAUUUUGCCAUUCUAGUAGGUACAUAGUGGAAUAUCAUUGUGGUUUCAACUUGAUUUGCAUUUCCCUGAUGACCAAGGAUGUUGAGCAUCUUUUCACGUGCUCACAUUCCAU